rnacentral:rRNA from 1 species
UAUGUGAUCGUCUCUCGCAUAUCAAUAAGCGGAGGAAAAGAAACUAACAAGGAUUCCCCUAGUAACAGCGAGUGAAGCGGGAAGAGCUCAAAUUUGAAAUCUUAAAGGGUUUCCCUUUACGAAUUGUAGUUUAAAGAAGUGUUUUCUGUUGAGGUUUUGGUAAAAGUUCUUUGGAAUAGGACAUCAUAGAGGGUGAGAAUCCCGUAUUUGACCUUUACUUUCAACUUUGUGAUACACUUUCAAAGAGUCGGAUUGUUUGGGGAUGCAGUCCAAAAUGGGUGGUAAAUUUCAUCUAAAGCUAAAUAUUGGCGAGAGACCGAUAGCGAACAAGUACCGUGAGGGAAAGAUGAAAAGAACUUUGAAAAGAGAGUUAAACAGUACGUGAAAUUGUCAAAAGGGAAGCGUUUGACACCAGUGUUGUUUUUCUGAAAAUCAAUUAAAGAACUGUUUAUGCUAAGUUGUUUAGACUUUAUCAGCUAACUGUUUAGUUUUGAGCUUUUCUUUAAUGCACUUUUCAGUUAACAAGUCAACAUCAAUUUCUUUUGCUGUAAAAAAGCUUGAGGAAGGUGGCUUGAGAUUCGUCUUAAGUGUUUAUAGCCUCUUGCCUAUGCAGUCGGAGAGAUUGAGGUCUGCAGCGUAGAUCCUUCGGGGCUAAAUGCAUUUGUGCUAAGUUAUAGCAUUUUAUAGACAACUUGUUGACUAUGAUUUGUCUUGUAGCUUACUCGCUUAUGUUAUUUUACCUACGCUUAGGAUGUUGAUCUACAGAGCGAGAGU